rnacentral:rRNA from 1 species
UACGGGGGGGGCAAGCGUUGUUCGGAAUUACUGGGCGUAAAAGGCUCGUAGGCGGCCAACUAAGUCCGACGUGAAAUCCCCAGGCUCAACCUGGGAACUGCGUCGGAUACUGGAUGGCUUGAAUUCGGGAGAGGGAUGCAGAAUUCCAGGUGUAGCGGUGAAAUGCGUAGAUAUCUGGAGGAAUACCGGUGGCGAAGGCGGCAUCCUGGACCGACAUUGACGUUGAGGAGCGAAAGCUAGGGGAGCAAACGGG